rnacentral:lncRNA from 1 species
AGGGUGUGUGGCAUCAUAUCCGAAUCAGGAUGGAGAAAGGAGAAUAUCGACUAGGAGGUAGUGCUUAGAAGCUCAAGCCUGUCUGAAUACAAUGAAUUUAAGAUCAAUUAUGAUUUAGGUAAUUCAAUAAGGAUCAAUGAUAACCAAAUUUUGGAGAUUCUGCUAAGAAUUGAGAUGGGGUUAGCAUGCCACUGGGUACUGGGGGAAUUUAGGACCUCCUCACUAAAAGGUUAACGAGGGUCCAU